AAUGCAUAGGAAUCUGCCCAUGUAGUGGGGGGACAACCUGGGGAAACUCAGGCUAAUACCGCAUGAGCCCUUCGGGGAAAGCAGGGGAUCUUCGGACCUUGCGCUAUUGGAUGAGCCUAUGCCUGAUUAGCUUGUUGGUGGGGUAACGGCCUACCAAGGCGACGAUCAGUAGCUGGUCUGAGAGGACGAUCAGCCACACUGGGACUGAGACACGGCCCAG
rnacentral:rRNA from 1 species